GAAUUGUUCGCAAUGGGCGCAAGCCUGACGACGCAACGCCGCGUGGAGGAUGAAGAUCUUCGGGUCGUAAACUCCUGUCGAGUGGGAAGAAUAGUCUCGGGGCAAAUAUCCUCGAGGCCUGACGGUACCACUAAAGGAAGCCCCGGCUACCUCCGUCCCCGCAGCCGCGGGAAUACGGGGGGGGCAAGCGUUGUUCGGAAUUACUGGGCGUAAAGGGCUCGUAGGCGGCCAACUAAGUCGGAUGUGAAAUCCCCAGGCUCAACCUGGGAACUGCAUCCGAUACUGGAUGGCUUGAAUUCGGGAGAGGGAUGCAGAAUUCCAGGUGUAGCGGUGAAAUGCGUAGAUACCUGGAGGAAUACCGGUGGCGAAGGCGGCAUCCUGGACCGACAUUGACGCUGAGGAGCGAAAGCUAGGGGAGCAAACGGG
rnacentral:rRNA from 1 species